GUCGAGCGGAUGAGUGGAGCUUGCUCCAUGAUUCAGCGGCGGACGGGUGAGUAAUGCCUAGGAAUCUGCCUGGUAGUGGGGGAUAACGUUUCGAAAGGAACGCUAAUACCGCAUACGUCCUACGGGAGAAAGUGGGGGAUCUUCGGACCUCACGCUAUCAGAUGAGCCUAGGUCGGAUUAGCUAGUUGGUGGGGUAAUGGCCCACCAAGGCGACGAUCCGUAACUGGUCUGAGAGGAUGAUCAGUCACACUGGAACUGAGACACGGUCCAGACUCCUACGGGAGGCAGCAGUGGGGAAUAUUGGACAAUGGGCGAAAGCCUGAUCCAGCCAUGCCGCGUGUGUGAAGAAGGUCUUCGGAUUGUAAAGCACUUUAAGUUGGGAGGAAGGGCAGUAAGUUAAUACCUUGCUGUUUUGACGUUACCAACAGAAUAAGCACCGGCUAACUUCGUGCCAGCAGCCGCGGUAAUACGAAGGGUGCAAGCGUUAAUCGGAAUUACUGGGCGUAAAGCGCGCGUAGGUGGUUCAGCAAGUUGGAUGUGAAAGCCCCGGGCUCAACCUGGGAAUUGCAUCCAAAACUACUGAGCUAGAGUACGGUAGAGGGUGGUGGAAUUUCCUGUGUAGCGGUGAAAUGCGUAGAUAUAGGAAGGAACACCAGUGGCGAAGGCGACCACCUGGACUGAUACUGACACUGAGGUGCGAAAGCGUGGGGAGCAAACAGGAUUAGAUACCCUGGUAGUCCACGCCGUAAACGAUGUCGACUAGCCGUUGGGAUCCUUGAGAUCUUAGUGGCGCAGCUAACGCGAUAAGUCGACCGCCUGGGGAGUACGGCCGCAAGGUUAAAACUCAAAUGAAUUGACGGGGGGCCCGCACAAGCGGUGGAGCAUGUGGGUUUAUU
rnacentral:rRNA from 1 species